AUGAACGCUAGCUACAGGCUUAACACAUGCAAGUCGAGGGGCAGCAUGGUCUUAGCUUGCUAAGGCCGAUGGCGACCGGCGCACGGGUGAGUAACACGUAUCCAACCUGCCGUCUACUCUUGGACAGCCUUCUGAAAGGAAGAUUAAUACAAGAUGGCAUCAUGAGUCCGCAUGUUCACAUGAUUAAAGGUAUUCCGGUAGACGAUGGGGAUGCGUUCCAUUAGAUAGUAGGCGGGGUAACAGCCCACCUAGUCUUCGAUGGAUAGGGGUUCUGAGAGGAAGGUCCCCCACAUUGGAACUGAGACACGGUCCAAACUCCUACGGGAGGCAGCAGUGAGGAAUAUUGGUCAAUGGGCGAGAGCCUGAACCAGCCAAGUAGCGUGAAGGAUGACUGCCCUAUGGGUUGUAAACUUCUUUUGUAAAGGAAUAAAGUCGGGUAUGGAUACCCGUUUGCAUGUACUUUAUGAAUAAGGAUCGGCUAACUCCGUGCCAGCAGCCGCGGUAAUACGGAGGAUCCGAGCGUUAUCCGGAUUUAUUGGGUUUAAAGGGAGCGUAGAUGGAUGUUUAAGUCAGUUGUGAAAGUUUGCGGCUCAACCGUAAAAUUGCAGUUGAUACUGGAUAUCUUGAGUGCAGUUGAGGCAGGCGGAAUUCGUGGUGUAGCGGUGAAAUGCUUAGAUAUCACGAAGAACUCCGAUUGCGAAGGCAGCCUGCUAAGCUGCAACUGACAUUGAGGCUCGAAAGUGUGGGUAUCAAACAGGAUUAGAUACGCUGGUAGUCCACACGGUAAACGAUGAUUACUCGCUGUUUGCGCUAUACUGCAAGCGGCCAAGCGAAAGCGUUAAGUAUUCCACCUGGGGAGUACGCCGGCAACGGUGAAACUCAAAGGAAUUGACGGGGGCCCGCACAAGCGGAGGAACAUGUGGUUUAAUUCGAUGAUACGCGAGGAACCUUACCCGGGCUUAAAUUGCAGAUGAAUUACGGUGAAAGCCGUAAGCCGCAAGGCAUCUGUGAAGGUGCUGCAUGGUUGUCGUCAGCUCGUGCCGUGAGGUGUCGGCUUAAGUGCCAUAACGAGCGCAACCCUUGUUGUCAGUUACUAACAGGUUCCGCUGAGGACUCUGACAAGACUGCCAUCGUAAGAUGUGAGGAAGGUGGGGAUGACGUCAAAUCAGCACGGCCCUUACGUCCGGGGCUACACACGUGUUACAAUGGGGGGUACAGAGGGCCGCUACCACGCGAGUGGAUGCCAAUCCCCAAAACCUCUCUCAGUUCGGACUGGAGUCUGCAACCCGACUCCACGAAGCUGGAUUCGCUAGUAAUCGCGCAUCAGCCACGGCGCGGUGAAUACGUUCCCGGGCCUUGUACACACCGCCCGUCAAGCCAUGGGAGCCGGGGGUACCUGAAGUGCGUAACCGCGAGGAGCGCCCUAGGGUAAAACUGGUGACUGGGGCU
rnacentral:rRNA from 1 species